rnacentral:ncRNA from 2 species
CAACGUCCGCGCGGGAGCGCACACCUUGGUGCGCUGAGAGGACGGCUGUAUGGCGCCGUCGACCGUAUGAACCUGACCGGGUAAUGCCGGCGUAGGGAGUAAGCAGAUGACUGCA